UUUGAACUCUUGACUCCAGGCUCUUUGAGAAAGAAGCAUAAUGGUGGAAAUUAAAGUUCUCUGAUGGGACCAAGUGGUAGAACAAGAUUUCUUACCUUUCCAGUCUGUCCUGGAAGGACCACCAAGAACAUUCAGUCAAUAGUACCAGCUUCUUUGGCUCCAAAUGUGGGAUACAUGAGGUGCUCCAAAUCCUCUAAAGAAGCAUCCAAGGGCUAUUCUGAACCAAACUGACAAAGUGGAACAACCUUGAGUUGC